rnacentral:rRNA from 1 species
GUAGGGAAUAUUGGGCAAUGGUCGGAAGACUGACCCAGCCAUGCCGCGUGCAGGAAGACGGCCCUCUGGGUUGUAAACUGCUUUUAUCUGGGAAGAAAAAGGCCAUGCGUGGCAAAUUGCCGGUACCAGAUGAAUAAGCACCGGCUAACUCCGUGCCAGCAGCCGCGGUAAUACGGAGGGUGCGAGCGUUGUCCGGAUUUAUUGGGUUUAAAGGUUGCGUAGGCGGCUGAUUAAGUCAGCGGUGAAAGACUUCGGCUUAACCGGAGCAGUGCCGUUGAUACUGGUUGGCUUGAGUGUCGGAGGGGUACAUGGAAUUGAUGGUGUAGCGGUGAAAUGCAUAGAUACCAUCAGGAACACCGAUAGCGAAGGCAUUGUACUGGCCGACAACUGACGCUGAUGCACGAAAGUGUGGGGAUCGAACAGGAUUAGAUACCCGAGUAGUCC